UAGGGAACCUUCCGCAAUGGGCGAAAGCCUGACGGAGCAACGCCGCGUGAGUGAUGAAGGUCUUCGGAUCGUAAAACUCUGUUAUUAGGGAAGAACAUAUGUGUAAGUAACUGUGCACAUCUUGACGGUACCUAAUCAGAAAGCCACGGCUAACUACGUGCCAGCAGCCGCGGUAAUACGUAGGUGACAAGCGUUAUCCGGAAUUAUUGGGCGUAAAGCGCGCGUAGGCGGUUUUUUAAGUCUGAUGUGAAAGCCCACGGCUCAACCGUGGAGGGUCAUUGGAAACUGGAAAACUUGAGUGCAGAAGAGGAAAGUGGAAUUCCAUGUGUAGCGGUGAAAUGCGCAGAGAUAUGGAGGAACACCAGUGGCGAAGGCGACUUUCUGGUCUGUAACUGACGCUGAUGUGCGAAAGCGCGGGGAUCAAACAGGAUUAGAUACCCUGGUAGUCCACGCCGUAAACGAUGAGUGCUAAGUGUUAGGGGGUUUCCGCCCCUUAGUGCUGCAGCUAACGCAUUAAGCACUCCGCCUGGGGAGUACGACCGCAAGGUUG
rnacentral:rRNA from 1 species